GACGAACGCUGGCGGCGUGCUUAACACAUGCAAGUCGAACGGAAAGGCCCUGCUUUUGUGGGGUGCUCGAGUGGCGAACGGGUGAGUAACACGUGAGUAACCUGCCCUUGACUUUGGGAUAACUUCAGGAAACUGGGGCUAAUACCGGAUAGGAGCUCCUGCUGCAUGGUGGGGGUUGGAAAGUUUCGGCGGUUGGGAAUGGACUCGCGGCUUAUCAGCUUGUUGGUGGGGUAGUGGCUUACCAAGGCUUUGACGGGUAGCCGGCCUGAGAGGGUGACCGGCCACAUUGGGACUGAGAUACGGCCCAGACUCCUACGGGAGGUAGCAGUGGGGAAUAUUGCACAAUGGGCGGAAGCCUGAUGCAGCAACGCCGCGUGCGGGAUGACGGCCUUCGGGUUGUAAACCGCUUUCGCCUGUGACGAAGCGUGAGUGACGGUAAUGGGUAAAGAAGCACCGGCUAACUACGUG
rnacentral:rRNA from 1 species